UACGUAGGGUGCAAGCGUUGUCCGGAAUGAUUGGGCGUAAAGCGUCCGCAGGUGGCAGUUCAAGUCUGCUGUCAAAGACCGGGGCUUAACUUCGGAAAGGCAGUGGAAACUGAACAGCUAGAGUAUGGUAGGGGCAGAGGGAAUUCCUGGUGUAGCGGUGAAAUGCGUAGAGAUCAGGAAGAACAUCGGUGGCGAAGGCGCUCUGCUGGACCAUAACUGACACUCAGGGACGAAAGCUAGGGGAGCGAAUGGG
rnacentral:rRNA from 1 species